rnacentral:lncRNA from 1 species
GGGUUGUUGAUAGAAAAUAGUAGAAUGGAUGUGUAAAAACCAAGGUGUUAAGAAAUGGUAUGAAAUGUUUAAUGUAUGAAACAAGUUGCCUAACUUAGAAAAUGUUAUCAUUCUAAGUAUGGAAUUUUGAAAGAAUAAUGAACAUGAUGUAAAUACAUAAUUAUGCAUGCUAGAAGCUCAUGUAUGACUUUUGUGAUGAUGGAAUGAUAAAUUGUUAGAUUGAUUAGCAUUGUAGUAUUGUGAUACAUGUUGAACUCGUUAAGCGAUUGACACGUGAAUAGAAGUGUGAUUAGUGAUGCGUAUGAUUACGUAUACUAACUAUUGAAUGGAUGUAAUGGAAUGAGAUAAUAGGAACGUGUCAAGGAGAGCUCAAGCAUAGGAGGAUAACGGGUCAAGAUAAGGCAAGGUGACAAAUACACUUAUUGGAGUACUCAAGGUUAUGAAUGUCGGACUUUCAAAGUGUUGAUAUAAUAAUGAAACGGUUGAAUCUUGAAAGGAUAAUCGGAUUGAAGUAACUUAUGCGGUAAAUCCUCAAUUCAGGCGACUUGGAGAAUCGGAGCGAGCGCGUGUUCAUGUUAUGUCAUACCAAACGCUUCCGCUAGUUUGUCCAAAUGUUUUUGGUCCAAAAUUUGUUGUAAUGGUUUUUAGUAGUAUUUUGUUGAACGACUCGUAGAAUUGUAUCUAGUUUGAUUAUGAUUAAAACAGGGGUAUGCCCGUUUUACGGACGGGUCAUGCCCAAAUUUUGUUAAAAAUUAAUGCAUAUGUUAUUGAUACCAUCGUU